rnacentral:rRNA from 1 species
GGUUAAGUGACUAAGCGUACACGGUGGAUGCCUUGGCAGUCAGAGGCGAUGAAGGACGUAGUAACUUGCGAUAAGCUCAGAUUAGGCAGUAACAGCCACUUGAGUCUGAGAUUUCCGAAUGGGGAAACCCAACUGCAUAAGCAGUUACUGUUAACUGAAUACAUAGGUUAACAGGGCGAACCGGGGGAACUGAAACAUCUAAGUACCCCGAGGAGAAGAAAUCAACCGAGAUUCCGAUAGUAGCGGCGAGCGAAAUUGGAUUAGCCCUUAAGCUUUACAUGCGUCAGGUGAAGGUUCUGGAAAGGACCGCGAAACAGGGUGAUAGCCCCGUAGCCGACAGCGCAUGUUCAGUGAAAUCGAGUAGGGCGGGACACGUGUUAUCCUGUCUGAAUAUGGGGGGACCAUCCUCCAAGGCUAAAUACUCCUGACUGACCGAUAGUGAACCAGUACCGUGAGGGAAAGGCGAAAAGAACCCCUGUGAGGGGAGUGAAAUAGAACCUGAAACCGUGUACGUACAAGCAGUAGGAGCCUCCUUUGUGGGGUGACUGCGUACCUUUUGUAUAAUGGGUCAGCGACUUAUAUUCAGUGGCAAGGUUAACCAUUUAGGGGAGCCGUAGGGAAACCGAGUCUUAACUGGGCGUUCAGUCUCUGGAUAUAGACCCGAAACCGGGUGAUCUAGCCAUGGGCAGGUUGAAGGUUGAGUAACAUCAACUGGAGGACCGAACCGACUAAUGUUGAAAAAUUAGCGGAUGACUUGUGGCUAGGGGUGAAAGGCCAAUCAAACUCGGAGAUAGCUGGUUCUCCCCGAAAGCUAUUUAGGUAGCGCCUCGGACGAAUACUACUGGGGGUAGAGCACUGUUAAGGCUAGGGGGUCAUCCCGACUUACCAACCCUUUGCAAACUCCGAAUACCAGUAAGUACUAUCCGGGAGACACACGGCGGGUGCUAACGUCCGUCGUGGAGAGGGAAACAACCCAGACCGCCAGCUAAGGUCCCAAAUUACAGCUAAGUGGGAAACGAUGUGGGAAGGCUCAGACAGCUAGGAUGUUGGCUUAGAAGCAGCCAUCAUUUAAAGAAAGCGUAAUAGCUCACUAGUCGAGUCGGCCUGCGCGGAAGAUGUAACGGGGCUAAGCUGUAAACCGAAGCUGCGGCAAUGCGAUUUAUCGUAUUGGGUAGGGGAGCGUUCUGUAAGCCGUUGAAGGUGUGUUGUAAAGCAUGCUGGAGGUAUCAGAAGUGCGAAUGCUGACAUGAGUAACGACAAGGGGGGUGAAAAACCUCCCCGCCGGAAGACCAAGGGUUCCUGUCCAACGUUAAUCGGGGCAGGGUAAGUCGACCCCUAAGGCGAGGCCGAAAGGCGUAGUCGAUGGGAAACGGGUUAAUAUUCCCGUACUUCUUACAAUUGCGAUGGGGGGACGGAGAAGGCUAGGUGGGCCUGGCGACGGUUGUCCAGGUUCAAGUGCGUAGGCUUGAGG